GCUGAGUGGACUUCGCCAAUGGGUUUGAGUCAAUGAUUGGAAAACUUCCUUUUCUCGAUCUUGAUUUUGGUAGAAAAACCUAAUCGAUAGUUGUUAGGAUGAAUCACACGUGGGAGAGAUAUGAAAUCUCUGAGCAGACUUAAAUCCCUUACUUUGCCAUUCUUUCCAAAAUAGGAUUUUGCUUAAUAUCAUUUGGAUGGACUCAGAUCCUUUCAUGUAGGAGAGUCUUUGAUGGGCUUUGAAUUUUGAUAGAUCCAGCGGGCCUUCUUGCAUGG
rnacentral:lncRNA from 1 species